rnacentral:rRNA from 1 species
UGACCUCGAAUCAGGUAGGAAUACCCGCUGAACUUAAGCAUAUCAAUAAGCGGAGGAAAAGAAACCAACAGGGAUUGCCCCAGUAACGGCGAGUGAAGCGGCAACAGCUCAAAUUUGAAAUCUGGCUCUCGGGCCCGAGUUGUAAUUUGUAGAGGAUGCUUUUGGUGAGGUGCCUUCCGAGUUCCCUGGAACGGGACGCCAUAGAGGGUGAGAGCCCCGUCUGGUUGGACACCGAUCCUCUGUAAAGCUCCUUCGACGAGUCGAGUAGUUUGGGAAUGCUGCUCUAAAUGGGAGGUAUAUGUCUUCUAAAGCUAAAUACCGGCCAGAGACCGAUAGCGCACAAGUAGAGUGAUCGAAAGAUGAAAAGAACUUUGAAAAGAGAGUUAAACAGUACGUGAAAUUGUUGAAAGGGAAGCGCUUGUGACCAGACUUGGGCUUGGUUGAUCAUCCGGGGUUCUCCCCGGUGCACUCUUCCGGCCCAGGCCAGCAUCAGUUCGCCCUGGGGGACAAAGGCUUCGGGAAUGUGGCUCUCUCCGGGGAGUGUUAUA